GCCAUCUCAUGCCUAUCAGAUUCUUGAAUUUUUGGAGCUUAAUGCUUUUUCCUUUUUGAGCUGUUCCUUCUGUGCUGUACAGAGCAGAUGGUUACACCAAGCUCUGUCAUUAGAUAGACUUCCUAAUGGGUCUCCUAGGUGCUUGCUGACCCAUGCCUCCAGGUACGCAUCAGUCCUGAUUCUAUUUCUGAAUCCAGAAAAUUAAUUCUUUCUUAUUUCUCCCUAGCUACUGGAAAGGACUACAAUUGCUCUGAAUGGUUUCAGCUGAGAACAGAACCAUCCUCUGCAAGAUCACUUGGUGAUUUUCCUACCUGUUGCUAAUUAAGAUUAAUGAAUAUAGGCCUACAACAUGGGAAUGUCAUUGAAGUGCUCUCACUCCUCCCAGGAGCAGAUUUGCCCUCCCCUCUGGCUGAUGGGUGUAUUUCUACAUGGAAAGAGAUUGUUCCAGUGUGUAGCUGCAGUGCAGGAUCACAAGGAGACCAGUGUGGUGGCAGGAUAUUGCCAUGAUGUGCCAGCAUGCAGCAGAACACUCCACCCUGCAAUGUGAUCCCUCGCCAUGAAGUUGUGCUGGGUGCCAAGCUCUGAUACGCUGGUGGCUCCGAUUUAUUACAUCUGACUCAUGGCAUCUCUGAUCUAAGUUCAGAGCUUUUUGCCCCUUCAAGUGAAAAAGAAAGAAAUCAAUGGGAAUAACUGUGAUUUCUGCCCCUUUCCAGUGAGGUAAUCGCUAUCACAGAAUGCUUCCAUCCAUCAUUCUGCUCUGCGUAGGGCCAUACCUCAUACUUAGUGUGGUACAAGAGCAAACAUCAGCACUAAUUCAUUUGAUCCUCAAAUAUGUGGGCAUUUUAUUCCACUCUGGAGUCGUCGUCUUCUGGAAAUGCAGCUAAUUUUUCUUGCACAUACUUCAAAUCCAAAGACAGAAACCUGACACAAGUAGAAAUGAAGAGAUCUGUUGAGGUCCCAUGAGAACAUACAUUGCACAGAUAAUACCUUUGUGAUAAAAGACUGAAUUAUGAUCUAAAUUAUAGAAAGACUCAGUGUUUUGGCAAAGUUGUCUUCAUUUCAGCCUACUGGCUUCAAGUUCCACAGACCCCAGACUUGGAAACAUGUGGGGCCUGAAGAACCAGCUGCUGAGAUUUCCAGAUGUGGAUUUUUAGCUCUUCAUUACUGGAAGCUCUCACAGGACCUGAGGUCAGACUGGAAAUUGCCUUUCCAAUCUCAGACCACAGCAGAGCAUCCAUUUAUAUGGCUUUGCAGAACUUAUGUAUGUUCAUUAGGUGUCCCCGUUGUUCCUCUUCCCAAACUAGGCAUUUCUGGGUUUUAAUUAAGGUGUUUCAAAACUUUUUAAAGAAAACCUGAAAGAGUGGGCCAUUAGCUUUACCAUUGCAUGAGGCAGCAUUUCUCUUCUAAGAGAUGAGACUAAAGUGUUCAGUCUGACUGAUUGGAUGGCUUGAAUUUUUAGAGAUGUCCUAUCAUAGUCAUUAAUGUAAAUUAGUUAUGUGUUUCAUUAGCUAGGCUAAAACUUACACUCUGGCUGAAUGCUGAAAAAAGAAAAAACCUGUCUGAAUAUGAUUAAAAAAAAAAUUAAAAUAAGAACCACUGAAUGGUAGCAGUUAAUGAACUGUAGCUAACUGAAAAAAGUGUUUCCUUCCAGUAGCAAAGCAGCAAGAGAAUCCAUUUGUUUUGUGAAUGCUCCUAACACACCGUUUGUGUUACCCUCCACCACUGCUGCAGCAUCCCGUAGGGGUUCACCUGCCUGUUAUGUCAAUUUUGGCAAUGUCCUCCACUCUGGCUUUGACCUCCAGAUCCUUGCAACAUUAUCAGGAGAGACAGAAGGGGGAAGAUCUCCUGUGUGGUUGUGAAAUGCUCUGUUUGACUUCUCUGAACCUUCCCAGCUUUAUUACACUCUUACCACCAGGCUCAGCCCUUCCCCCAGUGAAUGCAUGUCACCAAAAGCCAUUGAUAGCUUCUUCCCUCCAGGCCUUCUGCUCUGAUUCAUCUGUUGCAGUAGCAGCUUAAGAUCUCACUGGGUAUACCCUUUUUCAGCAAAACUGCUGAGGUUAAAACCCUCAUCCUUCAAGCUUCAUUCAGAGUUUUACAUGCAUUCAGCCUCCAGUAGUACCUGUCAGGCUUACCCGCAAAUUUAAUGUGUGUAACUUUGUAUAUUGAGUACCUUGUCCCGUAGAAACCAAGGAUCUCAGCCUAAGGGCCUAGUUUCAAUAUGGAAGAUAAAGUGGAGAUGAACACGUCAUUAUCCCUCUGUUGGA